GGGGAUUCUCCAGGUUGGGGAUUCUCCAGGAUGGGGAUUCUCCAGGCACCUAGUGUAGAUUGCCACGCCCUCCUCCAGGACUUUCAAGCCCUCCAACUGAAAAUGCCAGCAUUAAGAACAGAGUCUCCCAAGAGGACUGCACAAACCCUGGGAGGGGUGUCAGGUGAGGCUCCGAAGUGCUAAAAAAUAUUAGGACUUCUAUUUUUUCAUAUGUCUUAAUCCUUCAAAAGAAAGGAAUAAAGAUCUGCUAACAUCUAACCUACGGAUCAGCUCCAGCAUCCUCUCUCCACACAGAUGUCUGACUGCCAGGUUAUCAGAUGGCACUUCUCUAGGAGGGACGUGGGAGGAGCAGCCAGCCCUGCCCUGGCUUUCUCCUUACUUUUUAGCAUCCUGCUCCAUAUUGCAUUUUGCAUGUCCCCAAUUCAGUGGACUCACAGGCUAUAUCAUCUAGUUAAUCAAACUAUUCCUUCACAAAUGCUCUGAUGGCUUCAACAUAUUUCUGCAAAGAAACCAACUUACUAACAACGCAAGUGAAAACAUAAGAUGGCAAAAGCAAAGUCAACACUUCUCCGGCUUCCUGUGUGAGCUCUUUCUCAGCUACUUACUUAAUCUGUCCCUUCAAGGUAAAUUAGAUGCUUUAACAAUAAGCAAGAAAGCAACUGCUUUUCAAAAGAAACUCAAGUACAGAAAGACAUUGUCAAAAGGAAUGCUUGAAAAUCGUUCCAUCAUUAUAUGAUUUUGUUGAAGAAAAUACUGUAAGCAUAUUGCUAUAAACACUCUCCUCUCUGAAAACUGUUUUUAAAUCUUCCAAAUGGAGAGUUUCAGUGGGUUUUGAACACCUUUGUUCAAAACAUUAAAAUGCAUUACCUUCAAAUUAGUUUUGUAAAAACAUCUGAUUGAUAUCACAGAUGAUGGAAAUUCACUAGCUGUAUUUCAAUGAAAACCUACUGCAAGAUGAAUUUGGGGCUGUAAAUUGACUUACAUGAUGAAGUGAAGUCCAUGAUGAAUUCCUUCUAUUUGGGUGUUUUUGAGGAAUAUUUUUCAACUAUGACAACAAUUGAAAAACCAAGUCUCAAACUUGAACUGGAAAUACCUCUUCUAAUUGCUUCAUCACAAAGUUUUUUUACAAAUAGUCUAAAAACUAAUAAAACAUAUUCAAGUACAUUGCUCU
ensembl:lncRNA